rnacentral:rRNA from 1 species
GUGGGGAAUAUUGGACAAUGGGCGAAAGCCUGAUCCAGCCAUGCCGCGUGUGUGAAGAAGGUCUUCGGAUUGUAAAGCACUUUAAGUUGGGAGGAAGGACAGUAAGUUAAUACCUUGCUGUUUUGACGUUACCGACAGAAUAAGCACCGGCUAACUUCGUGCCAGCAGCCGCGGUAAUACGAAGGGUGCAAGCGUUAAUCGGAAUUACUGGGCGUAAAGCGCGCGUAGGUGGUUUUGUAAGUUGGAGGUGAAAUCCCCGGGCUCAACCUGGGAACUGCCUCCAAAACUGCAUGACUAGAGUACGGUAGAGGGUAGUGGAAUUUCCUGUGUAGCGGUGAAAUGCGUAGAUAUAGGAAGGAACACCAGUGGCGAAGGCGACUACCUGGACUGAUACUGACACUGAGGUGCGAAAGCGUGGGGAGCAAACAGGAUUAGAAACCCUGGUAGUCC